GAAGUGAUCAUGUAAACAGUAUAAUCUGAUAUGUUUUAUUAGGUAACAGCAGUAAUCUGAUUAUGAGAAAUCAGAGUAACACACCUAGAUUUUCCCCAAUACUCCCAUGUUUUCAUGCAUAUACAGGGUUAAUCUGACU